CGAAAAUGGUAACAAUUUCCGCACGUAAUACAAACAUACAAAAUUUGCAAACUUCGCAAGGCUAUAUUUUCCAAGCUUUACAACAUUUCGCAACCGAACUUUGCAAUUUUACUAAUUUCAUUACGUUCUUUUUAGCUGUUGUGUUUCACUCUCUUCUCUUUACUUAGAUUAAAAUUUAGUCUAACAUGCAAGUUGUCCAUUAUGGAAAGGGUGUAUAUUAACUAUUAAUUAAAGUUGUCCUUUCAAAAUCAAAACUGAAAACCGCAAACCUCGAUAACUAAAUGCGAAAAGCAUAUGUAAUCGAGUAUGAAUGAGCAAAUUGUAUUUUGCAAUAGCAUUGAUGUUUAGCGCUGUAUAGACCGGCUUAUAAGUUAAAAGGACUGACAAAUGAACUUGUUUUUAUUAUCGGCGGCAAAUCACAAGCAACUGUCAUACAGAUAUAGCUCUGACAUUCAUUUGAUUAGCAUAAAAACCAGACAUAUCCUUAUUAGCAUAUAAUACAAGCAUGCCAAAACACUCCCAGUUUGGCGCGAACAGGACGAGGUUUGCGGUUUUCGCAAAAGGAAACCUUAAUUGAAUCAGCUGUAUUUUCAGUUUGUUAAUAUUAAACCGACUUAAUGACAUCAUGCAUGUAUAUAUGCAGGGUCAAAAAUCAAAAUAUAAUACAGGGUUCGUUCAAGGCCAUGUAUCAGGAUUUUCAAGGUCUUUUCAAGGUCAUCAUGCAUGUAUCAGGAAAUUCAAGGACUAAAGGCUGAAAAUAACACUCUAGAAAUUAGUAGAAAGUGACGUUAAACUGUUCAACGGCAACUGACUUUACUAUGAAUUUCAAACAGCUUUGGCUUUGUAAGACAUAGUGAGAAAAUCAAUUCACAAAAUGUCCAAUGCUGCCAAACAAUUUCAGAAAAUAUCCACUAAAGCAAGAACCGUGAAUUUAAGGACUUUCAAGCACCUCUUUAUAAACUCAAGGACUUUCAAGGUCUUGAAUUUUUGUUUCCAAAUUCAAGGA